ACCCUGCCCAGUGGGUCAUCACUUGGACUUCCAGCUGUUUCAGGAUCUCUGAGCCUCUGGUUCUGGUGUCCCCCAGAGCUGCCCCCUGGGACCAAAGGGUUCUGUGGCCUCCAGGAGUCCUGCAGGAAAUUUCUCCACGUCCUCUGGAGGCAUUUCCCACACUCUGACCCAAGCCAAGGAGCAUCCCUGGGGUCUGGGAGGGGUCUGCAACCUCAAUGAGCCCAACACUGCCCUGUGGCACCUUUGAGGUUCAGCUGCUGGAAAGGAGUCAAGAUGAGGACUGAAGGCCCUGUGAACAGCAACAUUGGGUGGGCACCCAUCUCCCUCCCUGCCUGCACCCAAAAGGGGACCUGCUGGGGAAGCCCUGGGAACCUUAGAACCAUGGAACUGAUCAGGUUGGAAAAAA